CAUGCAAGUCGGACGGUAGCACAGAGGAGCUUGUUCCUCGGGUGACGAGUGGCGGACGGGUGAGUAAUGUCUGGGGAUCUGCCCGAUAGAGGGGGAUAACCACUGGAAACGGUGGCUAAUACCGCAUAACGUCGCGAGACCAAAGAGGGGGACCUUCGGGCCUCUCACUAUCGGAUGAACCCAGAUGGGAUUAGCUAGUAGGCGGGGUAACGGCCCACCUAGGCGACGAUCCCUAGCUGGUCUGAGAGGAUGACCAGCCACACUGGAACUGAGACACGGUCCAGACUCCUACGGGAGGCAGCAGUGGGGAAUAUUGCACAAUGGGCGCAAGCCUGAUGCACCCAUGCCGCGUGUAUGAAGAAGGCCUUCGGGUUGUAAAGUACUUUCAGCGGGGAGGAAGGCGAUGGGGUUAAUAACCUUGUCGAUUGACGUUACCCGCAAAAGAAGCACCGGCUAACUCCGUGCCAGCAGCCGCGGUAAUACGGAGGGUGCAAGCGUUAAUCGGAAUUACUGGGCGUAAAGCGCACGCAGGCGGUCUGUUAAGUCAGAUGUGAAAUCCCCGGGCUUAACCUGGGAACUGCAUUUGAAACUGGCAGGCUUGAGUCUCGUAGAGGGGGGUAGAAUUCCAGGUGUAGCGGUGAAAUGCGUAGAGAUCUGGAGGAAUACCGGUGGCGAAGCGGCCCCCUGGACGAAGACUGACGCUCAUGUGCGAAAGCGUGGGGAGCAAACAGGAUUAGAUC
rnacentral:rRNA from 1 species